UACGGGGGGGGGCAAGCGUUGUUCGGAAUUACUGGGCGUAAAGGGCUCGUAGGCGGCCAACUAAGUCGGACGUGAAAUCCCUCGGCUUAACCGGGGAACUGCGUCCGAUACUGGAUGGCUAGAGUUCGGGAGAGGGAUGCGGAAUUCCAGGUGUAGCGGUGAAAUGCGUAGAUAUCUGGAGGAACACCGGUGGCGAAGGCGGCAUCCUGGACCGACACUGACGCUGGAGGAGCGAAAGCCAGGGGAGCAAACAGGAUUAGAACCGUACCG
rnacentral:rRNA from 1 species